GUCCACGCUGUAACGAUGGAUACUAGGUGUGCGGGACUGACCCCUGCGUGCCGCAGUUAACACAAUAAGUAUCCCACCUGGGAGUACGAUCGCAAGGUUGAACUCAAAGGAAUUGACGGGGCCCGCACAAGCGGCGGAGCAUGCGGAUUAAUUCGAUGCAACGCGAAGAACCUUACCUGGGCUUGACAUGUUCCCGACAGCCGUAGAGAUGCGGCCUCCCUUCGGGGCGGGUUUCACAGGUGGUGCAUGGUCGUCGU
rnacentral:rRNA from 1 species